GAUGAACGCUGGCGGCGUGCCUAAUACAUGCAAGUCGAGCGAACGGACGAGGCGCUUGCUUCGCUGAUGUUAGCGGCGCACGGGUGAGUAACACGUGGAUAACCUACCUAUAAGUCUGAGAUAACUUCGGGAAACCGGAGCUAACACCGGAGGAUAUUUUGAACCGUGGGGUUCAUAGGAGAAAGACGGUCGUGCUGUCACUUCUAGAGGGAUCCGCGCUGCAUUAGCUAGUUGGUAAGGUAACGGCUUACCAAGGCAACGAUGCAUAGCCGACCUGAGAGGCUGAUCGGCCACCCUGGAACGGAGACACGGUCCAGACUACUACGGGAGGCAGCAGUAGGGAAUCUUCGGCAAUGGGCGAGAGCCUGACGGAGCAAGGCCGCGUGUGUGACGAAGGCCUUCGGAUCGUAAAGCUCUGUUAUUAGGGAUGAACAGAUGUGUAAGUAAAUGUGGCCAUCUUGACGGUACCUAAUCAAAAAGCCACGGCUAACUACGUG
rnacentral:rRNA from 1 species